AAGGGAUAAACGCUGAAAGCAUCUAAGUGUCAAGCCUCCCCCAAGAAUAGGUAUCCCCAUUAGGCUGGUCGAAGACUACGACCUCGAUAGGCGCAAUGUGUAAGAUCCGUAAGGAUUUCAGCUAAUGCGUACUAAUCAGCCGAUUGGCUUGGCCUU
rnacentral:rRNA from 1 species